UUGGUAUUCUUUUCUCAUCCAAGGUGGCUGAUAGCGUUAGGCGGCUAAGCAGUGCAGAGCGGUUUGAUUUCUUCAGGAAAGCCGCUCAUUUUAGUAUUGCCCUUUAGAGAGUGGAUUGUGCCACACUCCUGCAGUGUUGUUGUAGCCUUGUCAUUUUACAAAUGUUUACGGACUGGCCUUGACUGACUCCUGGUUUUAUGUGGCGGUACAGCCGCUCGCGCCGCCGCCCCCCCCCCCCCGAGUGCGUACACACGGGGAAUAGGUAGAUUGCAGUGUGAGUGACAGUGAGGUUUGCAAUGGAACUACAUGGGAUCCAGAAGAUCUGGACCACUCCAUGUGUCUAUAUGUCUGCUCUUCUCUUCCUCCCAAGCACUGACAUUUUGUGGCGUUUUCAUGAGAAGCAUGAAAUGAAUUGAAAUUGCAAACAAUCACUUGUGAAACAAGAAAUAAUGAAGGCAAAACUGUGUUUUUAAUACAGUGAUCUUUAAUUGAAAAUGUAUUUGGUUUGGAAGUCAGAUAAAAAAACAUAUACACAACAUUUUCAUGUCAUUUACAAGUCUGAGACUCUCUUCUAGCUUAUUACCUUUGCAUAAGUCAUGUAUUCUGCCAAGUAAGAAUGUUUUGUUUAUUUCAUGUUGUUCUCACUGAUAAGUACAAACUUCGUAGUAGAUUUUUUUUUAGUCAAACUAGGCAUUUAGAAAAGGACAGUUAUUGACAGAGAUGCGAUGCCAUUUGCUUAUUAAAGGUAUUUUCCCAAGCACCAGCAAACAGACAAAUUGUUCUGGAGCUGUUCAGACCAAACUAGCAUGCAGGUCUACAGUAAAGAUUCAGCUGCUCAAACACAUGGGUGGAGCGAGAAGCAGCAAAUAUGAAAGAACAAGAGACGUGGGAAAGACAGUUUGAACUCACUGAAGUGCACAACAAAACAAACUAGUUAUACGUCAUGGAAAGAUGGGGACACAUAGAUGCAAUGGGAAGUCACAGAGCUCUCAUAUGGGAGGAGGCUUGCUGUAGAGCAUCAAAAACACCCACAAUCAGACUCACAGGGGAGACACAAAGCAGACUUUGGUUGACUGAGUUUGGAUUGGAACAGCUUUCAAUUACUGGUAGUGUUGUGCUGGCUUCUGGCCUGCCUGAGACAGCCGCCAUCCCACAGGGAAUACAAGACCUCUCACUGUUCAGCUGCCAAGAUUGGGGGAUUCACCUUGAUCCGUUAUUGUUGUAUGUGAAUGCCAUUAAGAACAAUGUUUACCUGUGUUAUGUUUUUUUGCAGAUAAUAAAGCAAUGUCAGAUAGGUACUGACUGUCUGACCCAUCUCAUGUAAAUAUACCUGUAGCAACAUCAUUCAGUUUGUACUGAUGUGAAAAAAAUAUUGCCACAAUUUCCUGAUCAUCAACCUACCUGGCCCUAGAUGAAAAAGUAAAUGCUCACCACCAGAAACUCCUGAAAGACAAUUUCUAGCCAUAAGCAGACCAGACUUCUGCAAUUAUGCAGGAGAACAACAAUCCGAAACACACUGGCAAACCCAUCUCUGAAUGGCUACAAAACCCCCACAAAAUGAAGGUUUUGGAGUGGCCUAG